AAAAUAAUAAGCAGAAAAAUACAAAGAUAGUAAAGUAAUGCCUGGUAAUUCAAGUUUCAGCUGUAAAAAGUGAUGCAACAACAUGAGAACAACCUUUAUCAUACCACAACAUGCAGCCUGAGGGAGACUAAAACUGAAUGAUCUGAAAGUUAUCAAUCAAUGCAUAGCAGUGAAAGGAAUGAUGUUUCAAGUGUCUUGUGUUAUUUACUGAUGAAUUUGUCUCUAUUUACCAUCUAG